AGUAGCAAAGGUCGGAAAGGCCCCCGACACACUCGUAAGAGUACCUGAGAUGAUGGAUACGCCGCCCAUCUUGUUGCU
ncrna:unclassified sequences skipping-rope RNA